GGACGCGUAGCUUAACUGGAAGAGCAUCACCCUGCGACGGUGAAGAGUGGCAGUUCGAAUCUGCCCGUGUUCACAA
rnacentral:tRNA from 1 species